rnacentral:lncRNA from 1 species
UCAAAAUUCUGAGAAUUAAAAAAAAUUACUAAAGAAUAAUAUAGAAACUAUCAUGUUGCUGGAAUCGGAAUGACCAGGAUGCAGCCUGGAGCAGAAAACCACUGUACUAUGAAGUUUUAAAUCACACUUAUAAGACCUUAUUAUCACUUAAUAUUGGCAAGUAUUAUUAUGAUUUUUGAUGUCUUUGUGAUAGUUGCUGAAGCUUGUGUCACCCUUC